UCCGGUUUGACACCGGCAGUCUCCUAUGAGUCCCCAGCCGAACUGCUGGCAACAUAGGAUAGGGGUUGCGCUCGUUGCGGGACUUAACCCAACAUCUCACGACACGAGCUGACGACAACCAUGCACCACCUGUAUAGGGCCCCGAAGGACACUACAUCUCUGUGGCUUUUCCCUAUAUUUCAAGCCCUGGUAAGGUUCUUCGCGUUGCAUCGAAUUAAGCCACAUGCUCCGCCGCUUGUGCGGGCCCCCGUCAAUUCCUUUGAGUUUCAGUCUUGCGACCGUACUCCCCAGACGGCGAACUUAACGCGUUAGCUUCGAUACUGCGUGCCAAAUUGCACCCAACAUCCAGUUCGCAUCGUUUAGGGCGUGGACUAC
rnacentral:misc_RNA from 1 species